UACAGAGGGUGCAAGCGUUGUUCGGAAUCAUUGGGCGUAAAGAGCGUGUAGGCGGUUCGGUAAGUCCGCUGUGAAAGUCGGGGGCUCAACCCUCGGAUGCCGGUGGAUACUGUCGGGCUUGAGUACGGAAGAGGCGAGUGGAAUUCCUGGUGUAGCGGUGAAAUGCGCAGAUAUCAGGAGGAACACCAAUUGCGAAGGCAGCUCGCUGGGACGUUACUGACGCUGGAGACGCGAAAAGCGUGGGGAGCAAACAGG
rnacentral:rRNA from 1 species